UUUUGGACAAUGGGCGAAAGUCUGAUCCAGCAAUGCCGCGUGCAGGAUGAAGGCCUUCGGGUUGUAAACUGCUUUUGUACGGAACGAAACGGCCUUUUCUAAUAAAGAGGGCUAAUGACGGUACCGUAAGAAUAAGCACCGGCUAACUACGUGCCAGCAGCCGCGGUAAUACGUAGGGUGCAAGCGUUAAUCGGAAUUACUGGGCGUAAAGCGUGCGCAGGCGGUUAUGUAAGACAGUUGUGAAAUCCCCGGGCUCAACCUGGGAAUUGCAUCUGUGACUGCAUAGCUAGAGUACGGUAGAGGGGGAUGGAAUUCCGCGUGUAGCAGUGAAAUGCGUAGAUAUGCGGAGGAACACCGAUGGCGAAGGCAAUCCCCUGGAGCCUGUACUGACGCUCAUGCACGAGG
rnacentral:rRNA from 1 species